rnacentral:lncRNA from 1 species
CCAUCUUUGAAAUCUACUUUUUUGAUGGGAAUAGGUACUACAUUAGGCUUAUUCAAAUGAGUCUUAGUUUUGGUAGUAGGGUCAGUUAUUGUGGCAAAAUUUCUAGUUAAAGACGCAGGAGGUAUAGGAAUGGCUUUAGAGGGUGAGUUUAGAGGAGGAAUUGGAUUGUGGAGUCGAUAGAAAGGAAACCUGGCCAGUCAAUGGCGAUGACUGACCUCUAGUCGAGGUCAUGAAUACAUCUAACAGAAGUGCAGAAAUAUUUGAUUUUGGGCCAUUAUUCAAGUUGUACUCAAAGAACUUUUCUUCUUGAUAUAUACUCACCUUGGAACCACUACCGACAACAGAGAGAAUUAUAAAAAAUCAGGUAUGAAGUUUGGCAAAAUUUUGCUUAUUUGAAGUGUGGUUUUGUCAUGACCAAAUAUUACAUAUUUUUGCCUGAAAUUAAACUUGACUCGCCAAAACUAAAUUAAAUAAUUUUUGAAUAAAGUUAUGGCAUUGGCAAGACCUACUUCAGAUAUAUAAUGGUUGCACUUCAAAUAUCUAAUGACUACACGAUACAUAUAAUGGCUUGCCAAAAUCAACUUUAGGACUUUUUUACACUAAGGGUGUGUUUGGUAUGAAGGAAAAUAUUUUCCAUGGAAAAUGUUUUUCUAGAAAAUGUUUUCUUGGAAAACAAGUAGAUUUUUUACUUGUUUUCUUGUGUUUGGUUGGUGGAUGGAAAAUAUUUUUAGGAAAAUAGUUUGUAAUGUUUGGUUGGUGAAUGAAAAAAUAGUUUUUAAAAAAUACAUUUUAAUCUUUAGCUAAAGCGUAAAAAUACAUUUUAGAAAAAUAUUUUUUGAUCUCAAAAAAUAUUUUUUGGGGUUGUUCGAUAUGAAGGAGGAGAAAUAUUUUCUAAAAAAAUAAGUUGUUUCUUACUUAUAUUUAGGGGUGCAUUCGGUUUGUUCGGUUUGAUUGUUGAAUAUCGGUACAAUUUUUUGGUUUUCGGAUUGACGAAAAUGACAAUCAUAACCAAAUCAAAAUUAUUUCAGUUUGGUUCGAUUUUUACAAAUUUGGUUCGGUUAUUUCGUAUUUUUAUUUUAAUUUUGAAGAUUAAAGUAUUGAGCAUUUAAAAUUGGUGAUUUUUCUAGAAAAAUAAUUUUUUUUCAAACCUAUUUUCAUUCUUAAAUAUAAUUAAUUCAACAUGAAUGAAAUAACCAUAAAUAUCGACUUCGCGGAGUCAUCACCGUUGGCGUAACGACAAUGGNNNNNNNNNNNNNNNNNNNNNNNNNNNNNNNNNNNNNNNNNNNNNNNNNNNNNNNNNNNNNNNNNNNNNNNNNNNNNNNNNNNNNNNNNNNNNNNNNNNNNNNNNNNNNNNNNNNNNNNNNNNNNNNNNNNNNNNNNNNNNNGAAUGGGGGUAGUAGGGGGUGGGGGUUGGGGUAGGGGAGUGAGGGUGGGGUAAGAAAAAAGUUUGUUUUUUUUUCUUUAAAUUUUUUUGUUUUUUUGUUUUUGGAAAGGGGAAGGAAGUAGGGUUUUGGGUAGGGGUGAGGUAAAAAAAAUUAAACUAUAUUUUUAAAUAGAGGUGGUAGGGGGUGGGGUGAGAGUGGGUAUGGGGGUAGGGUGGGUGAUUGAGGGUCGGAGUAGGGAUGAGUGAUUUUGAGAGUUGUAUGAAUAUUUCAACUUAAGAGUGAGGUUGAAAGAGAAUUUUGAAAAAUGUUUUCCUUACUUUUUGAAGGGAAGUCAUUUUCCUUAAUUUUAAGGUAAAUAAGUUGAUUUGGAAAAUAUUUUUCAAAACCUGUAAGCCAACCAAACAGGAGAAAAUUAGAAAACAUUUUUCAAAAAAUGUUUUCUUUCAUACGAAACAUACCCUAAAUCUCUAUGGUUUUUACAAGGCCAAAUUUCAGACAUAUAGGGUGUGUUUAGUAUGAUGAAAAAUGUUUUCCUAUUUUCCCUUGUUUGGUUGCAAUAAAACCAAACAUUUUCCUCAAUUUGAGGGAAAAUGACUUCCCUCAUGGGCCAGGGGAAAUCAUUUUCCAGAAAAUGACAAAUGUAACUUAUGACCCCACCCGCAUCCCUCUUCCCCACACCAACAACACUCAUAUUCAUAUGACUCAAAAAAUUCGUAUUUCUCAAAAAUUUACAUUACUCAAAAAUAUUUUUCACUGUGUUUUGCUUCAAUUUUUCACUGCUUGAAAUAAAAAAUAGUGAAGUCCAAAUUUUCCCCAUUUUCAAUAUUCGUUGAAUGUAUUGUUAUUUUCAUAUGCAUAGAAGACUUACCUAUGUUACUUUUGCUAAUUGCAUAUUUCAUUUUGUCAUCGAUGCAACUUGUUUCACAAGGUUGAAUAAGCUUGUCGUUCCGUUAUAUUUCUAUUGAUUGUAGUAUCUUGAGGUUGUCGUGACAAAAUAUUGAAAAGUGUCUCCUCUAUUUGUUAAUUAAUAGUUUCUUAAAUUUAGUGAUUGUAAUAUUUUAGUAUUCGAUAUUGAUAUUAUUUGGUAUGUUUAAAUUAGUUCUUACAAAUUGUUGAGUUGCUAGAGACACAGAUAUACUAUUUAACAGUUAGUAGUAUUUUCUAAAAAAAAUAUUUUUUCAUUCACUAAUCAAACACUAGAAAAUAUUUUUCUAAAAAAUAGUCUCUACCCACCAACCAAACACCAUAAAAUAUUUUUCAGAAAAUAUUUUUUACUCACCAACCAAACAUGAGAAAAUAAGCAGAAAAUCAACUUAUUUUCUUGAAAAAUAUUUUCCAAGAAAACAUUUUCCAUACCAAACACACCCAUAUAAUGUUGCAUUUCGAACAUUUUGACAUUAGAUCAACAUUUGGCUUCAAUUACAUUUUGCAUGAAGUUCAGGUGAACAAAUUUUAUUUUUCCGGAAUUAAUAACUUGUUCCCUAUUUCAAUAAUCCAAUACUAGACUUAAUAUUAAAACUCUUGUUGUAUUUAUAUCUGGAUAACAAACACUUAUCUAUUAGGAGAUUUAUUAUGUAUAUAUGUAUAUUUUUUAUUAUAAAUAGAGGUUAUUGAGGCUCUUAAUUCGUUGAGCCAUUCACUAAAACAUUAUCAUGGUGUCAAAUUAGCCAAAAAAUCGUUGUUUCUCUUCCCACUACUUUAACGUGAUUUGCCCCCCUUUAAAUUUGACUUUGAUCAAUGCUAUUGCUCUUCUAUUAGGUACAGUAUUCUACUACAGUAGCACUCUAUACUCUAGGAACAGUCGCUAUCUAGUAUCUCUAUUUUUUUCUGUAUCUCAUGCCAAUCUCUAUAAAUUUUUAAACGUCUUCUUAAUCCUUGCCCACAUUUGGCACCAUUGCAUUUGUACCCUCUAUUUUCAUACCACUCAUCUCUAUCUCUUGACAGCGCCCAAGCGCACACGCAAGUGUACGUAGUCUACCAAGUAAUAUAGUAGCCUUAAAAAAAGCCGAAUAUCGAUCUCACAAGGACUAGUUCCAACAACUAUUUAAAUUCUUGUUCACUUAUUGAGAUUAACUUGAUGCGAGGUAACCAAAAAGAGUUGUGAUUGAUAAACUAAAAAUAAAGUAAACAGUGCAUAAAGUAAAGACUAAAGGCAAUCAAUAGAGUAAAGCCCAGGGUUAAAGCACUUCGAACAAUCAUACUACGCGAUUGAACUUCAUUCGUUAAAUUGCUUAUUUUGACUGUUGAUUCAUAGGGUUUAUUGCAUGAUCAUGGUCUCUCGAUCUCUAAUCGUCUAUCUAACUUGGACAUGACAACUACAUCGUUGAGCGGGGAUGUAAUAAUCCAAUUAAGUGCUUAAAGCUAUCAUUCUACAUGUGAAUCAAGCAAGGCUUCUAGAUACAUCCUUGUCCUUUAUGCUAAUUCAGAUUCUUUAUUUCUUAAAGGAAUAGGAACCUUACUUUGAUUAUCCCCACGUUCUAUCUUCCUAUUCCCCCUUCGAGAUCACAAGGUUGACAAUAUAUGUAUUCUAAGGUUAGAUACUCCUUAAAAUAGUUCAGAUAAGGAUAAAUAAACAACCAAAUAUGAUGAGCAAAUCAAAUGAAAUCAAUUCAAAAUGAUGGUAAUCAUGUUCUUGGCUUUAACCCCGGAAAGGGGGCGUUUAACCACUAAUUGACAUAAUCAUGAUCCAAAUACUUGAAUACAUCAUCAAAUCUAUUAAAAAGCUAAAGAUAAAGAAUAAAACGCUAAAUAAAGUGUUUGGAAGCCCCUUACAAGGCUUCAAUAUGUCCAAAGAUGAUUAGAAUAAGUUACAAAGUAUUCUAUUUAUAGUUGAUGACUUAAGUCAUGUAUGGGAAGGUCCGCGGUGUGUUGGAUAUCAUGUGGGAAGAGUGGCGCAUCGCGGUGGAUAUCUCGUGGAAUAAGGGGCACGGGGCAUUUCAAAUCGCGUGGGAAGAGCUCCGUGAUGCGGCUAAUUCACGGGCUCACUGGAAUGUGCCUCUUGACGCCUAAUUUUGUCUAAGUAUUUCUCCUUCCAUCCCUUUCCUUGUGGUGUUGUUUCCACUGAAUUUACAGCUUGUAUUUCAUCAAUAUAUCACCCUAAUUAACUUACCAAGCAUCUGUAAUACCCCAGGAAAUUUUUCGUUGAAAUUUUGUGCGUAAACGUGUCGGGUUCUAUCUUCUAGAAUGAAUUAUAAAUUUUUCGUGUGGAAUGUCUUAGAUUAUGACCCACCAUUGCGUAGUGUAUCGAAUAAGAUUUCCAAUGAUAUGUGGAUCAUCCAAAAUGGACACCCGAGCGACGAGUUAUGAACAUUCCGAUCGAAUCGUGAAUAGUAGUGAACAGUAAAACGUGCAGGAAAAAGUACUGAGGCUUGGCGUAUUUUUGCUCCAACUUUAAACGAUCAUAACUCCUUGUACAUAAUGAUCUGGGUGAUCUACUAUAUAUUAAUGGAAAGCUCUGCGAAUCCACUUUCCAAUGAAAUUGGUUUCAUCCAAUUUGUCUAUCGGAGCAAAAAGUUAUGUUUGAUCUACUUCAGCCUAUCAAAAAUAAAUUUUUGGGUCAACUUCAAAUGAUCAUAACUCCUCGUAUACAAUGAGCUAGGUGAGAUACUAUAUAUCAACGGAAAGAUAUGAGAGUCCUCUUUCUAAUGAAAUUGGUUUCAUCCAAUUUGGAUAUCGGAGUAAAACGUUAUGCUUGAUCUACUUCAGACUAUCAAAAAAGUCCACCAAAGGACAGAUUCGAGAAUUAUUUGAUUUUUAGGNNNNNNNNNNNNNNNNNNNNNNNNNNNNNNNNNNNNNNNNNNNNNNNNCUCAAAAAGAAAAUCCUAAGCUCCUACAUCCAACUUCAAGAACCUCCAAAGUUCACCAUUAAUUCUGCAAAUUUAUUCAAGAUUCCAAGUUCCUAGUUCAAGAACUCCAAGAACCAUCAUUCAAAGGCACGAUUAACAUCUCAAAAAUGAGUCUCGAUCUAAAGUUCAUCAUUCAAGGUAUGUGGGGUUUUUCAACAAGAACUCUCUUUCGUUCUUGUGCCCAAAAGUAAUUUUCUUUACAAAGGCAUGAUUUUUAUUUGAUUUUUAUGAAUUUGAAGCAUAAACUCAUAUCUUAUGAUGAUUAUUAUGAAAUCUUGAUGUUUAUGAUUUUGAAAGAUGAAUUUACAUGUGUGGAGAUAUAAAACAUGAAUCUUGAACGAUAUUUAUCAUGAUUUUGAUAUUCGGAUCAUGAAUCCCCAUUGGAAAUUGUGUUUUUUUGAGAAAGUGUUGUUAUAAGCACGUUGAUGUUGAAUAUUUGAGAUAUUUUGAAUAAUUUGACCAUUUGGUCUUAAUGGAGUUGUUUUGAACUCGAGUGUGAAAUAAAUUCACAACGUGGUUGAUUUUGAUAAAUGGGAAGCAUGAUGGCUCCCGAUGUAUAUUUAUAUAUUACUGAAAUUGUUUUGUUAUGGAUUGUCUUUGAAAUGAUCUGNNNNNNNNNNNNNNNNNNNNNNNNNNNNNNNNNNNNNNNNNNNNNNNNNNNNNNNNNNNNNNNNNNNNNNNNNNNNNNNNNNNNNNNNNNNNNNNNNNNNNNNNNNNNNNNNNNNNNNNNNNNNNNNNNNNNNNNNNNNNNNNNNNNNNNNNNNNNNNNNNNNNNNNNNNNNNNNNNNNNNNNNNNNNNNNNNNNNNNNNNNNNNNNNNNNNNNNNNNNNNNNNNNNNNNNNNNNNNNNNNNNNNNNUCCCAGUGUGUGUGUGUUUCCUUGUGUCUCUGGUGAAUGGUGAAGUGAUUUGAAAGUGGAAUUGUGAAAGUUAUUCUUUCGAAAGAUUUAAAUGAUAUUUACAUUAUGAGAAUUGAUAUUCUUGAUGAACUGAAAGUGAUUGACAAAUUAUAUGGUGACUCAUAUGUGUUAUUGUACUUAUUUCAUCUUCUCAUGUUAUGAUGAUUUUCUUCGGACUAUGUGAGUUUUUCAUACAUCCUGCUUAUUUCUUAUAAAUAUUUAUGAUGAUGAUGUUUAUACAACUGCAUACACCCCCAUAUACUCGGUUCCUUUCUAUGGUACUGACCCAUAUUUUCGGAUGUGGGCUGCAUUUUCUCGGAAUAUAGGUUUAGGUGCUCAGUUCUAGGUUCGAUAGUGAUUCUUUGGGCACACUGUUCUACACCCUCUGUUGGUGAGUCCUCAUGUUCCGAGGACGUGAUGUUGAUAGUGGUUUAACAAAAUUAUUUAUAUUUGAUAACUGAGUAUGAGUCAGUUGGGGCAUGUUUCAAUGGCUCGCUAGUUUUAUUGAUUUUCCUAAAGGCUUGUCAGACUAGUAUAGAUGUUGGGAGUUAACUAAUAAGUCGUAUUUUGUUAUCUUUCUGACAUUCUUUUAUUUUUGGAUGAUGAUUACUCUGUUGAUAUUUGAGGGUUAUUUAUGGAAAUCCCGUUGAAUUAUGUUGAACUGAAUGAAAAUGGCUCAAAGGGUUAGCUUGGGGCUACUCGUAGCCUCAAGCACCGUGUGACGCUCUGGGACCCAUUAAUCCACAAGUACAAGAGUCAUAAUCGUGAGCCUAGGAGUCUAAUAAGUAGUAAUUCACAUAAUCAACAUGCUUUUACAACCCAAACAUUCGCAUCAUGUAAUGACCCGGGACUACCCGCUAGUCGUCACACGGUGCUUACAUACUUGAGGGACCAUAAGCUAAUCCAUGAGCUGGUACCUACUGUGAGCACGGAAUAAUAUCAUAAAUAUGAAAAAAUACUGACAUUGCCAUAAGGUUUUAAUAACUGAAUUCAAUAUUGGAAUAUAAAUCUAUAGGAAAUAACUGUCCACAUCAAAGAAAAAUACUGAGAAACUAACAUGUAAAUUGAAAAUCUGAAUACUGAAUAACUGACUCAAAUGUCUAAAAAGCCUCUAGGAUUGACUGACUGAGAGUUGAUGGGACAGUCCUCCCAUCUAACUCUACUAACUACUGAGAUAAAGAUAUGAAGUAAUAUAGUCUGUCCUUGGAUGAUGAGGACUCACCACUACUACUGUAUUGUCGAUGAUCUGAGGGACUAAGUGCGAUCUGGGAACUGAGCGUCAGUACCUAUGAUAUGAUAUAUCAUAGCGCAAAAGAAAGGUAUGCGAUCAGUACUUUGAAUGUACUGGCAUGCUAAAUAAGGUAGACUGAUUUACAUGGUUUCAUGAAUAGGAAUAAUAAUUACUAACUAAUUAUACAUGUAAAACAUAUGGUAAUGAGUAGAGAACAUGAAAUCCAUAGAUACUGAAAUAUGUGAAGCAUAUAAAUACUGUGUAUGCAUAAAAAUUUAUAAAUACUGAAGAUAUGUGAAAAUCUAUAGACACUAAGGAUGCAUGACCAAGCAUAUAACAAGAACUGAGUAAAGUCUGUAAACUGAGAUACUGAAAUGACUGACAUCUGUAUGCUUUGGCCACACGACACUAAGAUUGAAUAGCUGAAUGGGGACUGUGACUGAGACUGUGGGAGAUAUCAUCUAACCUACAUGCCCCAAUCUGAGCUAAUCGGGGUCCAACCUGUACCCUAGUUGGAUAGGUAUUAAUACCAUACCACGGGUACUAUCAUUGGCUGUGUGGAUCCACAAAACUGAUAUAAUGUCUAAAGGACUAAGGGUGUCAAACCUGAUCUAACGGGUGACCCUUGCGAGAUAGUUAAGCCUAAUUUGACGGGUGACUACUUAUAUCCUACGCUGGCUAGUAGUUCUGGAGUAUAGGGACUACUACUAAUGACUCUGCCUAUCUGAUGGAAAAGCCGCCAUCCCUUUACUCGCUCGGUGUUAAAUCCUACUCCUAACUGAAAGACACUGAGAUACUAGACUAUUUUGAGUUUAAUGACUGAUAUCUGACUAUUCUGAUAAUGCUCAUAGUAUAAUCUGAAGACUAUUUUGUAAUGUACUGAGACUAGACUAAAUAAACAACUAUGAUUUUUGGAUAUUCAAUACCCCCAGGACUCAAAACAACAAUACUGAAAAGACACUAAAGCUUAGGGGACAAAGCAUAAAGGUUUUUAUUAAAUCAAUCACUCUUGUAGGUAUUUUAUCAAACACCUGUAGUUCAUGGUUCAAAACAAUCAUAAGAAUGUCCUAAAACAUAUAGAAAUAACAUGAAUCCCACAUAAUAGAGUUAAAUCAUGGUUUUGUUUAAUAAAUAAUAAUAUUAAAAUAAGGAAGAUUGAAUAAUAACGAUAAUUUCAUGGUAACAUGGUAUAAAAUCAUAGUUAAUGGAGAUUCAUAAGUGAAAUCACAAUUUAAAAUAUAAUAACUUGAAAAUAUCACAAUUUUAUAAUUUUAAGGGGUUGCUUGGAUUCCAUGGAUGAAAGGGAUCCAUGGAUGAACAUCUAACAUACCUUAAUAGAUGAACUUCUUGGUGAGUUCUUGAGGAUUGACCUUGAAAUCAGAGAGCUAGGGUUCUUGAUUUGGGAGAGAAAGCUUCUUGAUUUGGGGGAAAAUAAUUAAAAUAAUGAGUUUAAAAAUAUUUUUAGGGCUUAAAAGCACACCUGGGCGGAUUAAAAUUAAAAUUAGGGAAAAGGACUGUUUUACCCCUAGGAAAAACUUUUAAUUUUCGUCGAAUUUUUUUGAUAUGGGCACCUGGCGCGACUUAGCGCUAUCGCGCCGUAUCACUGGAAACUGACAACUGGGAACUGGGCCGACGGCGCGACGUUCCAUUAUCGCAGUAAGACUUUGGAUGCCAUUUUGGCUACCUCCACGAUGUGCCAACAUCGUGGAGUCCCACUAAAAAUUGACAAAUAAAAAAUUGGCCUGCUCCAGGUCGCGUCAUAAUCUCGGAGUCAUAGUGGAAAUUGAUAAUUGUCAUUUGGGCUACCUAUGCGAUGCGCUAAGGGUUAAAAUGAUGGUGUUUAACGACUGAAACUUUAAAUCACCAUAACUUUUUACCCGGUUAUCAGAUUUUGGCAAAUUUUAUAUCGUUGGAAAGGUAGUUCAAUUUUCUACGCAAUGGCAGGCUCUAAACAGAAAAAUAAAUGAGUAUUUCCAAAAUUUUAUAUAUGAAUACUCAUAUAUUGGGACUUAGAUUAUGCUAGGGAAAUACAGGGUGUUAUAUUUUCUCCUCUUUGGGAUCAUUCAUCCCUGAAUGAAACUAGUUAAGCUAAGGAAACUAAUGGACUGAGCUUACACACUGAAUAUGCAUGUCUGAUGCAUAGAAUACAUGACUGAAUUGAUUCUUGAAUGCACGACUGGCAUGAACAUGAUGUGCAGCUGAAACUGAGCAUGAUAGAGAAAAAUCUUAAGAAGAUUGGUACCUUAAACUGAAUUUGGAUUCGCGGAUAAAAGAUGAGGGUACUUGGUCAGCAUAUCUUCUUCUGCUUCUCAAGUGGCUCCCUCAAUGGACUGAUUUCGCCAAAGAAAUUUGACUAGUUGAACUUCUUUGUUCCUUAAUCUACGAACUUGAUGAUCAAGAAUUUUGACUGGAACUUCCUCAGGAAAGACUGUUCUGAAUAUCUAUACUUUCUAAGGAAACAACUACAGCUAGCUCACCAAUAUAAUUUUUCAAAAAUUAGACGUGGAACACUGGGUGUAUUGAGGAUAGAUCUGAAGGCAACUCAAACUCGCAAGCUAUCUUUGAAAUCAACUGUGCAUGCUUUCAGUAUAUCCUUAAGAGUCUGAAUGGUCCUUUCUACUUGACUGUUUGUCUGAGGGUGGAAACGAUACUGAGAUGGACUUGGGUACCAAGACCCUUUUGGAAUCAUUUUCAGAAGUGAGAGGUAAACUGGGUACCUCUAUCUGAGAUGAUAGAUAAGGGAACACCAUGCAACCUAACCAAUUCUCUGAGAUAGAGUUUGGCAUAGUCCUCGGCUGAAUAAGAGGUAUGGACUGACAAGAAAUAAGAUGAUUUGGUCAUCUUGUCUACGAUAACCCAAAUAGAAUCAUGCUAAUAACGGGUACGAGGCAAACCUAUCACAAAAUCCAUGUUCACUUUCUCCCAUUUCCAUAUGGGAAUAAUGAACUCCUGCAUGGACCCACUAGGCUUCUGGUGUUUAACCUUAACUUGCUGACACGUAGAGCACUUUGCUAUAAACUCUGCAAUAUCUCUCUUCAUCCCACUUCACCAAUACAUAUCACGCAAAUCACUGUACAUCUUAGUGGGCCCUGGAUGAAUAGAGUAACGCAUACCAUGCACUUCUGUAAGAAUUCAUUGCCUCAAAUCAUCUAUACCAUGCACACACAAUCUACCCUAAUAGCGCAACACACCAUCUCCCCCUUGGGAGAAAACCUCAACUUUCUGAUCUCUGACUUAUUCCUUCACCUUAACUAGAAUGGGAUCUCUAUCCUGCUUUUCCUUCACCUCGGAAACUAGAGAUGAUUCUGAGCUACUCUGCACAAACACACUACCCUUUGCUGAGUCGAUUACGUGGACACCUAGUCGGGCAAGUUGAUGAACUUCCUAAGCUAACUUCUUCUGACCAUCCUCAACGUGAGCAACACUACCCAUAGACAAUGUACUGAGAGCAUCAGCCACUACAUUGGCCUUAUCCAGAUGAUACAGAACACUCAGGUCAUAAUCCUUUAAGAACUCUAACCACUUUUUCUAAUGCCAAUUCAAAUCUUUCUAAGAGAAUAUAUACUGGAGGAUUUUGUGAUCUGUGAACACAUCUACAUGCACCCCAUAUAAGUAAUGCCUCCAAAUCUUUAAGGCGAAUACUACUGCUACUAGCUCAAGAUCAUAGGUCGGAUAAUUCUUCUCAUGAGGCUUUAGUUGUUUGGAGGUGUAGCUAUGACCUUACCUCUCUAUAUGAGGACACAACCCAAACCUACUCUGGAUGCAUCACAGUACACAACAAACCCAUCAAAAUCAUCUGGUAGAGUAAGAACUGGGGUUAAGGUGAGUCGAAUCUUUAACUCCUGAAAACUCUUCUCGUAAGAAUUUAACCACUGCUCUGAGUCAGUCUGGACAUGAAGGAUGAAAUAGAUGAAACCGUUCAACAAAUCGAUGGUAAUAGCCAGCUAAACCCAAGAAAAUCCUAAUAUCUGAUAAAGAGAUGGGUCUAGGCCAGUUUUUCACCGCCUCGAUCUUUUGAGAAUCAACCCUAAUGCCAUCACCAGAAAUAAUAUGGCCAAGGAAAUCUACUGAUCUUAGUCAGAACUCACACUUACCGAAUUUAGUGAACAACUGAUGGGCUCUAAGAGUCUGGAGCACUAUUCUGAGAUGGUCUACAUGAUCGCUUUUGCUACAAGAAUAGACAAGAAUGUCAUCAAUAAAGACUAUGAUGAACAUGUUCAAGUACUGCUUGAACACUCAGUUUAUUAAGUCCAUGAAGGCUGCUGGGGCAUUCAUGAGACCAAAGGACAUGACUAGAAAUUUGAAGUGACCAUGCCGAGUUUGAAAAGCUAUUUUUAAAAUGUCACGUUCUCUGGCUCUAAGCUGAUGAUAGCUUGAUUUGAGGUCUAUCAUGGAAAAUUAACUGGCACCCUAAAUUUGGUCAAACAAGUCAUCGAUUCUAUGAAGUGGGUAUUUAUUUUUGACUGUGACCUUGUUUAAUUGACGGUAGUCAAUACAUAUUCUGAGAGAACUACCUUUCUUAGUACGAAUAGAAUAAGUGUGCCCCAUGGGGAGACACUGGGUUUGAUGAAUCCCUUAUCUAGGAGAUUAUUUAACUGGUCUUUUAAAUCUUUGAGUUCAGUUGGAGCCAUUUUGUAUGGCGGAAUAAAUAUAGGCUGCGUAUCUGGAAGAAGGUCUAUUCCGAAGUCUAUUUCCUUUUCGAGAGAAACUCCGGGAAGAUCUUCAGAAAAUAUAUCUGAGAAUUCAUUUACUACUGGGACUGACUCAAGAGUAGGAGUUUCUAAGCUAGAGUCUUUGACUCGCACAGGAUGGUAGACACACCCCCUGGAUAUCAUCUUUCUGGCUCUAAGGUAUGAAAUCAACUGACCCCUAAGAGCAUGAGUAGAGCCAAUCCAUACUGAGAACGACAUCAAAAUCCAUCAUCUCUAACUCCACGAGAUUAACUGAGGUAACUUUUUUGAGAUAUUAUGACCAAAAAGUUCCUGUAUACCUGCCUGGCUACAAUGGAAACACCUAAUAGGGUAGACACUGAAAAAAGAUCUGCUAGAGUUUUGGGACUGACUCCAAAAUUGAUGGUUAUAUAUGAAGUUACAAAAGAAAGAGAAGCUCCAAGGUCUAGUAAAGCAUAAACAUAUAAGUAAAAGACCUGCAACUUACCAGUAACUACGUCAGGAGAAUUUUUAUGAUCUUGGUGGGACUAAAGAGCAUAUAAUCUAUUCGGAUGCUGACCACUGGUAGCACUGAAAGCGGCACCCUGCUGAGUUGGGCGACCGGAUAAAAUUGAUGAUUGAUGGGACUGGCCCUAUUGGCGCAUAUCCCUACCUUUCUUAGCAACUACCCGACACUACCAAAUUCGAUAGCUUGGCUUGCCACACCCGAAGCAUAUAUCACUACCCAUUCUACACUUACCCUGAUGGUGUCUUCCAUACUUGUAACAUAAAGGAUUGGUAUGAAUACUACUAACAUGGACUUAGGACUUAAAGCCUGGUGUCUUAUCCCUAUUGUCAUUUCUGAAUUUGGGUACCGGGGCACUGGUUAAAGAGGGCGCUGGGGCUCAAGACCUCUGAUGAAACAGAGGACAGUUACCACCCUCUGACUUGGGCUGACUAAAAUUAAAACUACCCAUCCUAGCUCUCUUAUAUCCUUUCCCCCUCCUUAAUCUUCUGCUCCUCUAUCUGUUGAGCAUGGACUAUCAGUCUAGACAAGUCCAUCUCCCUAAUUAGCAUUGCGAUCCUACACUCCUUGACCACACUAUUAGACACGCUAGAUACAAACUUACUCAUCUUAGACCUACUGUCAGCUACCACAUGAGGAGCAUAUCUAGCUAACUGAGUGAACUUGAUAGAAUACUCCCUCACACUUAUGAUUCCUUGCCUCAAAUUAAUAAAUUCUAACACCUUUGCAUCCCUCAACGCCAAUGGAAAGAAUUUGUCCAAGAAAGUCGUGGAAAACUCUUCCCAUUCUAGAGGCCCUGUAUCAACACCUCUAUCAAGUUUCCACUGCUUAAACUAAGUAUGGGCGACAUCCUACAAUUGAUAUGUAUCCAACUUGACACUUUGACUAAAAGUCACCCCUAUAGCAUCCGUUACCUUCUGAGCCAUAUCUAAGAAUUCCUGUGGAUGCUCUUCAUACUUGGACCCCAUAAAGGAAGGAGGAUUCAUUCGGGUGAAGUCCUGAAUUCUGGUUGCAGCAAUAUUGGCCACUGGGUUGGCUGGAACAUCUGCUGGUCAUUUAUUUUGUGUUGCUAUAGAGUUCAUUAUAGUUGUGAACGCAACCCUGAAUUCUGCGUAAGAGACAUGCUUGUCCAUAGGAUCUUCCUGGACGGGCUAAGUGGCUGGAUGAGUUCCUAUUCUUCUUAUGUUCUUCUUGGGAGGUAUGUUCUGUAAACGAAAGAAGGAAAAAGAUUAGACUGAGAGUUUAACUUGAGCUCAUGCUCAAUCGCACGACAUAACUACUGAAAGAAGGGAAACUUUUCCAAAAUAUCUUGUAGACUCUCAUCCAUAAGUCUGGCGCGCUACACACCCAUGCACAAGACUCUACUCGACGUGGCUUUCGGACUUCCAAUGACACUUUAAAACCUUAGGAUUUGAUACCAUUUUGUUAUGACCCGAGCUGGGGCCCUGGCCACAACGGGCAUCCUAAGCCAUCAAGACCCGAGAUACCCAUGAAACUCCCUAACCCACUAGUGAUAUUGUCUACUUUGAGCCUAGGAUCGCACGACUUUAAAACGCAUCAUUAGGGAGUAAGGCUUGCUUACUUAUAUACCCAGCAUCCCUUCUGUGUUUUGCUGAUGUAGGACUCUUUUCCUUAAGGAGGGGUGUUACAUACACCCCCUUUAUGGACUCAGCCUCCUCGCUGAGGUUUGUCCUACCGAAUGGGAUUCGCCUACACUCAUGACUGAGGUUUAUCCCAUCGAACCGGUAUUUGCCUACACUCAGUUUGAACUAUGGCCCACAUUGAUAGGGAUGACACAAGAGCGACUUUGAUACCAAGUUUGUAAUGACUCGGGACUACCCCUAGUAAUCACACGAUGCUUACGGUCCCAAGGCACCACAAGCUAACCAUGAGCUAGUACCUACUGUGAGAACUGAAUAAUAAUAUCAUAAAAGCAGAAAAAUACUGAUAUUGCCAUAAGCUUUUAAUAACUGAAUUCAGUAUUGGAAUAUAAAAUAUAGAAAAUAACUGUCCACAUCAGAGAAAAAUACUGAGAAACUAACAUGUCAACUGGAAAUCUGAAUAACUGACUCAAAUGUCUGAAAAUCCUCUAAGACUGACUGACUAAGAGUUGAUGGGACAGCCCCCCCAACUAGCUCUACUAACUACUGAGAUAAAGAUAUAAAGUAAUAUAAUCUGUCCUCAGAUGAUGAGGACUCACCACUGCUAUAGUACUGUCGAUGAUCUAAGAGACUAAGUACGAUCCGAGAACUGAGCGUCAGCACCAAUGAUAUGAUACAUCAUAACACAAAAGAAAGGUAUGUGAUCAGUACUUUGAAUGUACUGGUAUGCUAAAUGAGGUAGGCUGAUAUGCAUGGUUUCAUGAAUAGGAAUAAUAAUUACUAACUGAUUAUACAUGUAAAACAUAUGGUACUGAGUAGAGAACAUGAAAUCAAUAGGUACUAAAAAUAUGUGUAGCAUAUAAAUACUUUGUAUGCAUGAAAAUCUAUAAAUACUGAAGAUACAUGAAAAUCUAUAGACACCGAGGAUGCAUGAGUAAACAUAUAACAAGAACUGAGUAAAGUCUGUAAAUUGAGAUACUGAAAUAACUGACUUCUAUAUGCCUUGGCCAAACAAUACUAAGAAUGAAUAACUGAAUGAGGACUGUGUCUUAGACUAUAUCUGAGACUGUGAGAGGUAUCAUCUAAUCGACAUACGUCAAUCUGAGCUAAUCAGGGUCCAACCUAUAGCCCCAGUUGGAUGGGUGUUAAUACCGCACCACGGGUACUAACAUUGGCUUUGUGGAUCCACUAAACUGAUAUAAUGUCCAAAGGACUAAGGGUGUCAAGUUUGAACUGACGGGUAACCCCUGUGAGAUAGUCAAGCCUAAUCUGACGGGUGACUACUCAUAUCCUAUGCUGGCUACGUAGUUAUGGAGUAUAGAGACUGCUACUAACGACUCUGCCUAUCUGAUGAGGAAGCCGCCAUCCCAGCACUCGCUCGGUGCUAAAUCCUACUCCCAACUGAAAGACACUAAGAUACUAGACUGUUCUGAGUUUAAUGACUGAUAUCUGACUAUUCUGAUAAUCCUUAUAUUAUAAUCUAAAGACUAUUCUAUAAUGUUCUAAGACUAGACUAAAUAAACAAUUAUGAUUUUUGGGUAUUCAAUACCCCCAGGACUCAAAACAACAAUAGUGAAAAGAGGCUAAAGCUUAAGGGACAAAGCAUGAAGGUUUUUAUUAAAUCAAUCACUUUUGUAGGUAUUUUAUCAAACACUUGUAGUUCAUGGUUCAAAACAACCAUAGGAAUGUCCUAAAACAUAUAGAAAUAGCAUGAGUUCGACAUAAUAGAGUUAAAUCAUGGUUUUGUUCAAUAAAUAAUAGUAUUAAAAUAUGGAGGAUUGAAUAAUAACAAUAAUUUCAUGGUAACAUGGUAUAAAAUCAUAGUUCAUGGAGAUUCAUGGGUGAAAUCACAAUUUAAAACAUAAUAACUUAAAGAAAUCACAAUUUUAUAAUUUUAAAGGGUUGCUUGGACUCCAUGGAUGAAAGAGAUCCAUGGAUGAACAUCUAACAUACCUUAAUGGAUGGACUUCUUGAAGUUCUUGGUGAGUUCUUGAGGAUUGUCCUUGAAAUUGGAGAGUUAGGGUUCUUGAUUUGGGAGAGAAAACUUCUUGAUUUGGGAAAAAAUAAUUAAAAUAAUGAGUUAAAAAUCAUUUUUAGGGCUUAAAAGCACACCUGAGCGAAUUAAAAUUAGGGGAAAGGACUGUUUUACCCCUGGGCAAAACUUUUAAUUUUCAUUGAAUUUUUUUGAAAUGGGCAUUUAGUGCGACACGGAGCUAUCGCGCCGUAUCACUAGAAACUGAAAACUGGGAACUGGGCUGAUGGCGUGAUACGUCAUUAUUGCUGUAAGCCUUUGGAUGCCAUUUUGGCCACCUCCGUGGUGCGUCAACAUCACGGAUGCCCACUGGAAAUUGACAAUUGUCAUUUGGGCUGCCUACGCGAUGAGCUACGGGUUAAAAUGACGGUGUUUGACAACUGAAACUUUAAAUCUCCAUAACUUCUUAUCCGGUUAUCGGAUUUAGGCAAAUUUUAUAUUGUUGGAAAGCUAGUUCAAUUUCCUACGCAAUGGCAUGCUCUAAACUGAAAAAAUAAUGAGUUUUUCAAAAAUUUUAUGUAUGAAGACUCAUGUAUUGGGGCUUAAAUUAUGUUAGUGAAAUAUGGGGUGUUACACAUUAUGUAAUCAAAUAUAACACCGACAAGAACAUCUUACUUAUUCUUAACACAAAAUUUUAAAAUUACUCUAAAAAUGGGAAUUUUCCCACCUCACACUUAAAAAUCUACUUUAUCCCCAAAGUUUACUUUUAAAAGGUAGAGAUAAAAAUAUUCUCUGAGGCCUCUAGGUCCAUCCAGUAGCAUCUUUAUACAUUAAGAGGGUUCGGGGAUCCCACACUUAGUCUUCGCCAUGCUCUGUAGCUCUGGUUUUUCGGCCUUCCCAUUAACCCAUGACUCAACAAAAACAAAAACUAGUGAAGUAAAAACUAAAAAUACUGAAAAUAUAACCUACCUUAACUUGGGUUACCUCCCAAGCAGCGCCUGAUUUAGUGUCGUGGCACGAACCACCUACAACUCCUCCAUAUUCCUUCAUUCUUUUCCUCACACUUGGAGGCCAUUUUCUUAUUAAUUUUUGACCUUUUGAGUGUAAACUCUCAAGGUCAAUAGCUUUUUCACAAAUAGCCUUUUUAGGCUCAUCAAUCUGCAUCAUAUCGGGCUCAGGUAAUGGAGGCUUGGGAUGUUCAAUGAGGACUUCCAAAGAGGUCUUUUGUAGAAAAGGCUCCACCACUCCACAUUUAUCCUCUUCAAUCACAAUAAUCAUGCAUAAGUUUUUGUAAUGGGAUAGUGUGUUAAGUAGUUUUACACUUUAAAAACCGCCUCUUCAUCCUCCAACCUUAUUGUGAGUGUGCCCUAUCUCACCUCAAUCAAAGCUCUUCCUGUCGCUAAGAAUGUAUGUCCUAAGAUGAUUAGUACUCUUUCAUCUUCUUGAAAAUCUAACACAAUAAUUUCAACAGGAAUAAUAAAUUUACCAACCUUUAUGAGAACAUCCUCUAUGACUCCUUCAAGACAGGCGAUGGUCCCGUUUGCUAGCUACAGUAGCAUAAAGCCCGGUCUAGGCUUUCCCAAGCCUAAAGUAUUGAAAAAAGUGAGGGGCAUCAAGUUGAUACUUUCCCCUAAAUCACUAAGUGCUUGAACCACCUCAUUAUUUCCAAUUUGAAUAGGGAGAGUAAACUUCCUAGGGUCCUUAAGCUUUUUGGGCAUCUUUUGAGUCACCACAAAGCUAUACUCCUCAGUGAGUGACACUGUCUCAGCAUCCUACAACUUAACUUUAUUAGAAACCUUAACUUUAUUAGAAACCAUGUACCUCAAGUGCUUAGCGUACUUGGGCAUUCUUGGCAAACAUCUAAAAGAGGUAAAUUAAUGUGAAGCUCUCUGAAUGUGUCAAAGAACUUCUUGAAGCAUGCAUCCUCCUUUGUUUUUCUCAGCACUUGCGGGAGAGGUAGUGGUGGACUUUCCUUUACCGAUUUUGCAACUUUCUUUUUUGAGUACUCAGACUUCCUCAAAUUUUCAGCAACUUUAUCUACAAUCGGUUGGAGAGUUAAAUAUAUAUCUACCUCCUUAGUUUUCUUUGGAGGUUCUUCACUCAGCUCUUUUCCACUCCUCAAAGUGAUUGCCAUGACUUGUUUAGGCUUUUCAGUAUCACUUGGCAACCUGCCUUAAGGCCUGGUGUUCUGUGCUACUGCUAUCUGCCUACUUGCAACUCCAAGCUCCUUGUAGCCGCUUGCUGGCUUUUUAUAUCUGCUGCCAAUUAUGCUUGAGCAACUAAAAUUUAUUUCAUCAUCUCUUCCAUAUUGCUAUUUGCGGCCUUAUUUGCUUGAGUUCGGGGUUGCUGAAACUGCUACUGAUGGGAAUUCCAUUGCUGAUUUAGUGGCUGAGUCUGCCACUUUAUCUUGUAGGCAUUCCCAUAGUUAGGCCUCUGAACAUUACCCACAAACAUCACGGACUCAGGAUUUGCAGCAGACUUAUCUGCAAAAUGACCACUAUUUCCAUAGACCACUAUUUCCGUAGACCACACGCCAAGUGCUUGUCUGCUAAAUUGCAUUCAUUGCGGUUGUAGGCAGGGUAGAACCCAAUUUUAUGUUGCUGAGUUGUACAGUCAACUAAUUUUGUAAUGCAACAAUCUGAACAGAUAUUGCGGUAAACUGAUCCACCUCCAAAACACCUGCAACCUUUUUAGUAGCACUCUUGAGUCUGAAUGCCACUCUGAAUUUCCUUGUGCAAUCCAGUUCAAUAAAGUAUACAACUCAUCGUACGUCAUCUCUAGAGCUUGACCAUCUCUAGCUGAAUCUAGGAAAAUCUUUGUUCUAUGAUCAAGUGCCUCCAUAAAAGUAUGAGCUAAUACCCAAUUGGACUAUUGAUGGUGUGGACAACACCAUAGAAAAGCUUUGAAUCACUCCCAAGCAUGAUAUAAAUUCUCUUCUGGCUUUUAUUUGAAGCAGAUAAUCUCACUGUGAAGUCUCACAGUCUUGCCAGAUGAAAAAAAUUGGAUGAGGAAUCUCUGGGCUAAGUCAUCCCAUGUUGUGAUUGAAUUUGUUGGCUCAGCAUUGAACCACUUCUUCACUUCCCCUAACAGUGAAAAAGAGAAUAAUGUCAGCCUCACAUAAUAAGUUGACACACUCGUAGGGAUAAAUGUGUCACUGAUCUCCAAAAAUUUUCGUAGGUGGACUUGUGGAUCUUCAUGUGAAAGCACGGUAAACUAUCCACUGCUGAUCAAAAGCUACAACAUAUUUUGUUUCAGAUUAAAAAUUACCUCCAGCAGUCGGUUUCUAAAAAGGGAAGGUCAAAUUUAUUCGAAGUAUGAUUGCCACUUCUCGAACUGUGCUGCGGGCUGCUUGUUCUUCAGCCAUGAGAGCAGAAUGGUAUUGAUCUUAUUCUAUUUGUGAAAUUUGUGGGAGAAAGAUUGCUUCUCUGCUUCGUUGAUAGAAGCACUGUUCGGGUUCAGGACUUGGUUAAACUAAUUCCUAUCCCUUGCUAGCUUACUAGCCUAAAAACCAGUUUCCUGCAAUUACAAAACCAAGACCAAGCAUAAAACACUAAAUAAAUCUAAAUAGCAUAACUAAAUAUAAAAUAGUUGCCAAAUUACAAAUCUCUGACAACAGUGCCAAAAACUUGAUAGCGCACACGCAAGUGUACGUGGUAACUAAAAAGAGUUGUGAUUGGUAAACUAAAAAUAAAGUAAACAGUGCAUAAAUUAAAGACUAAAGACAAUCAAUUAAGUAAAUCCCAGGGUUAAAGCACCUCAAAAAAUCAUACUACGCUAUUGAACUUCAUUCGUUAAAUCUCUUAUCUUGGUUGUUGAUUCAUAGGGUUUAUUGCAUGAUCAUGGUCUCCCGACCUCUAAUCAUCUAUCUAACUUGGGUAUUACAACUACAUCAUUGAGCGGGGAUGUAAUAAUCCAAUUAAGUUCUUAAAGCUAUCAUCCUACAUGUGAACCAAACAAGGGUUCUAGAUAUAUCCUUGUCCUAGAUGCUAAUUCAAAUUCCUUAUUUCUUAAAAGGAAUAGGUACCUUACUUUGUUUAUCCCCAUGUUCUAUCUUUCUAUUUCCCCUCCCGAGAUCACAAGGUUGACAAUAUAUGUAUUCUAAGGUUAGAUACUCCUUAAAAUAGUUCAUACAAGGAUAAACAAAUAACCAAAUAUGAUAAUAAAAUCAAACAAAGUCAAUGUAAAAUGAUAGUAAUCAUGUUCUUGGCUUUAACCCCAGAAAGGGGGUGCUUAGCCACUAAUCGACAUAAUCAUGAUCCAAAUACUUGAAUACAUAAUCAAAUCUAUUAAAAAUCAAAAGUUAAAGAAUAAGAACCCUAAAUAAAGUGUUUAUAAUCCCUUCAUAAUUCUCCAAGAUGUCCAAAGAUGAUUAUAAUAAGCUACAAAGUAUUCUAUUAUUAGUUGAGGACUUAAGCUGUGUGUGGGGAGAUGUCCACGGCGUGUUGGAUAUCACGUGGGAAGAGUGGUGCAUCACGAUGUAUAUAUCAUGGGAUAAGGGGCAUAGGGCAUUGCAAAUCGAGUUGGAAGAUCUCCGCGACGCGGCCAAUUAGUAUAGGCUCACUAGAAUGUGCCUCUUGUCGCCUAAUUUCAUCUCAGUGUUUCUCAUUCCAUCCCUUGCAUUGUGGUGUUGUUUCUGCUCAAUUUACAGCUUUUAUUUCAUCAAUAUAUCACCAUAAUCAACUCACAAACCAUCCUACAUAAUGACACCCCAAAUAUUAGAGCUCAAAACAACACAACAUUCACAACGAUUAACUAAACACACGAGCUAAGACUAGGCUUCUCCACAUUGACCUUUAACUUAUUGUAUUGACUCUUGGAUCAAUCCAAUUGAAUUUUGAACAUUAUAAUCAAGUUUUUCCACUCAUAAACACACAAUAAUAGCCUUAGAAAUUCAACACACCCACCAGAAUCCAUCAAAAACAACUAGAACAAUACCUAGCUCAAGCUAGUCAAACUAGUUCUCUUGUCUAGACUCUAAAUGAUCCUUUUAAACCCCAAAUUGUUUGAAAACACCUUUAAACAUUUUAAUUACAUACUUGAACACUUAAAUGCUUACUUACAUCAUUAUUGACACAUAAAACGCAUGAAUUGUCCUAAAAACAAGGCAAAAUAGGCUAGGAUGACAAUGCUAGAGUGCAAAAAUACACCCAACAUCACCUCUCAAAUGAAUUUCCUAUAUCUUCUAUCAUCUCUACCUACCCUAUAAUUUCUAAUUUAUUUGUUCCCCACACCUUCUAUAUUCCUAGCUUACAACUAAAUUUUAUUGGAUUGAAGCUUGCUUCUCCAUAUACUGAUCUGGCAUCCUCAUUUAGUUUAUGAUAUUUUGUUGCUUUGGUUGUCCUAAAUGUUACUAAUAUGGUAACAAUCAAGUUGAACUCUUUUGAAGAUUUUCUUACUUGGAGCACAAAAUCCACUUCUCUAGUUAUGUCACAUGAUUUAUUAGGCUUUAUUAAUGGCUCUUUUUCAUCUCCUUCACCACUUAAUUAUGAUGUUGUUGGCUCUCUGUAGCUAAAUCCAACCUAUCAUUAUAUUCAAAUUGAAUAGAGUAUUCGUUCUUAGAUUUUUGCUACACUAUCUCGUGAAGUACUUAUUGUUGUCCACCUUUGUUCCUACUUUACAAGAUAUUUGGAUAUCCCUACAUAAGUGGUUUAUGCAUGCUAUUUAAGCAGAAACUAUUGAAUUAAAACAACUUAUAACUAUGAAGAAAUCUAAUUUUUUAUAUCUAUUGAUCAUUAUCUACAAAAAGCCAAACAAUUAGUUGAUUCACUUGCUGCAAAUAAAUUUUCUAGUUUCUAAUUAAGAUUUUAUUGACCAUGUGCUCCUUGGAUUAGUUACAGAGUAUGAUAUGAUGGAAAGAUUUUAUUGACCAUGUGCUCCUUGGAUUAAUUACUGAGUAUGAUAUGAUGGAAUGUAUCAUAACUUAUUUUUUUGGCAAUAUAUCUCCUAAAAGUUUACACUCCAAACUCCUUAUCCUUGAAUAGAGGUUAAAGAGGUCUUGUGAACUCGACUCGCUCGUGUCACAUAACGCCUUUAGUAGAUAAUCUGUUCCAUUAGAAUCCUCUGAGGUAUUUAUAAAUACAGCUUUUUCUCAAUAUAAUCAUGGUCGGGGGUGAGGUUUAUAUUUUCGAGGAAAAGUUUGUGGAGAACGAGGUUAUGGUAUAGCUGUGGUCAAUGUACUAAUCAUAAUAAUAUUACAUGCAAUGGCUAUACUGUUUAGUCUUGGUCAGGUAUUGACUAUGCUUUCUCUAACCCCUAUAAUUCACAAACUUUUAUUACAUCUUCCCUAUCUAAUGAGAUAUUAGGUCAUCCCCCCUCUUUUAUUAUUGUCAAGUUUGUGCAUCUCCUAGUCAUACAACUCUAGUAUGUCACAAUCUUUUCAAUCAUUCAUUUAUUGAUAAUGAUCUUCCCAAGUCUUUUGUUACUAUAUCAGUUGGUAAAACUAAUGAUGCUACUUAGUAUUUUGAUUCCACUGUGUUUGCUCAUAUAACUCCAUUUGAAAGUUACUUUAUAUAAUAAAACCCUUACUCUGGUUUUGAUUGUAUUUUGUUAGGAAAUGAUAUAUUACUUAAAAUUGCUAACAUAUGUUAUUCUAAAAUGCCUUCUUUAUCUCGUUCUCUAUAUUUGAAAUCUAUGUUCCAUUUUUUCAGCUUCAUCAUAACCUAAUUUCUGUUAAAAGAUUAUGUAAGGAUAAUGAUUGUAUUGUUAAUUUCAACUCCUCUUCUAUUUCUGUGAAGGAUAAAACUUUGUGGCAAACUCUUCUUUAAGCUAACAGUAAGGGGUUGUUUAUACCUUAUCCUAUUCACUUAUGUCCAAUCAUCCUAAAGUAUUUGUUAUCAUGCGUAAGUCUGGUGAUGUCUGGCAUUGUUGUUUGGGCCAUAGUGUAACUCAUUGUAAUACCUUGAAUUUUUAAAGCUCUAGACCCCCUCAAAAGAUAGACCACCAAUUUAGCUUUUCAAUGCUUUAAGGCCUCCAAAAACUUCCAUGUCGAUGACUUAAGUAAUGCGUCGUUAUCUCUUGUGAUUGAUCUGAGGUGAAUUUAUGCACCUUAGAGUUGCUAUUCGGGCUUAUUUAGCCUUGUUUUGAGGACCUAUCUUGUGCAUAAUAUGUAAAUAUUUGUAUAAUUGAGCAGCUAAGUGUUAAACUACUGGACUAUAAUGUUUAAGGUGUGUUUCAAACAAGUUUGGAAUUAAUUUGGUCACUUAGAGUUUAGACGAGAAAACUAGUAUUACUAGCUUGAGCUAUAUGUUAUUCUAGUUGAUCUCGGUGGAUUCUAAUGUGUGUAAUACGUUACUAAGGGAAUGAUUGUGUAAUUAUGUGUGUAUAACUUGCUUAUAGUGUUUAAGGUUCAAUUGAAACAAGCCAAGAGACAAAACAAUUAGAUAAAUAUAAAAAAAAUACAAAACUAGUAUUCUUAGCUUAAGUUUCUACUUCAUCAUCUUAGAUUUUAUGUGUUUUUGAGAUCUAAUUCGUGGUGUUUGAUUCUAUAGGAUGCUUGGUGAGUUUAUAAUGAUGG